AACAUGUUGAACCGCAUGGUUCUACAGUGAAAGACGGUCUUGCUGUCACUUAUAGAUGGACCCGCGCCGUAUUAGCUAGUUGGUGGGGUAACGGCCUACCAAGGCGACGAUACGUAGCCGACCUGAGAGGGUGAUCGGCCACACUGGAACUGAGACACGGUCCAGACUCCUACGGGAGGCAGCAGUAGGGAAUCUUCCGCAAUGGGCGAAAGCCUGACGGAGCAACGCCGCGUGAGUGAUGAAGGUCUUCGGAUCGUAAAGCUCUGUUGUUAGGGAAGAACAAAUGUGUAAGUAACUGUGCACAUCUUGACGGUACCUAACCAGAAAGCCACGGCUAACUACGUGCCAGCAGCCGCGGUAAUACGUAGGUGGCAAGCGUUAUCCGGAAUUAUUGGGCGUAAAGCGCGCGUAGGCGGUUUUUUAAGUCUGAUGUGAAAGCCCACGGCUCAACCGUGGAGGGUCAUUGGAAACUGGAAAACUUGAGUGCAGAAGAGGAAAGUGGAAUUCCAUGUGUAGCGGUGAAAUGCGCAGAGAUAUGGAGGAACACCAGUGGCGAAGGCGGCUUUCUGGUCUGCAACUGACGCUGAUGUGCGAAAGCGUGGGGAUCAAACAGGAUUAGAUACCCUGGUAGUCCACGCCGUAAACGAUGAGUGCUAAGUGUUAGGGGGUUUCCGCCCCUUAGUGCUGCAGCUAACGCAUUAAGCACUCCGCCUGGGGAGUACGGUCGCAAGACUGAAACUCAAAGGAAUUGACGGGGACCCGCACAAGCGGUGGAGCAUGUGGUUUAAUUCGAAGCAACGCGAAGAACCUUACCAAAUCUUGACAUCCUUUGACCGCUCUAGAGAUAGAGUUUUCCUCUUCGGAGGACAAAGUGACAGGUGGUGCAUGGUUGUCGUCAGCUCGUGUCGUGAGAUGUUGGGUUAAGUCCCGCAACGAGCGCAACCCUUGAACUUAGUUGCCAUCAUUCAGUUGGGCACUCUAAGUUGACUGCCGGUGACAAACCGGAGGAAGGUGGGGAUGACGUCAAAUCAUCAUGCCCCUUAUGAUUUGGGCUACACACGUGCUACAAUGGACAAUACAAAGGGCAGCGAAACCGCGAGGUCAAGCAAAUCCCAUAAAGUUGUUCUCAGUUCGGAUUGUAGUCUGCAACUCGACUACAUGAAGCUGGAAUCGCUAGUAAUCGUAGAUCAGCAUGCUACGGUGAAUACGUUCCCGGGUCUUGUACACACCGCCCGUCACACCACGAGAGUUUGUAACACCCGAAGCCGGUGGAGUAACCAUUUUGGAGCUAGCCGUCGAAGGUGGGACAAAUGAUUGGGGUGAAGUCGUAACAAGGUAGCCGUAUCGGAAGGUGCGGCUGGAUCACCUCCUUUCUA
rnacentral:rRNA from 1 species